AUUGAACGCUGGCGGAAUGCUUUACACAUGCAAGUCGAACGGUAGAGGGGGCAACCCCUCGAGAGUGGCGAACGGGUGAGUAAUAUAUCGGAACGUGCCCAGUCGUGGGGGAUAACGUAGCGAAAGUUACGCUAAUACCGCAUACGAUCUAAGGAUGAAAGCGGGGGAUCGCAAGACCUCGCGCGAUUGGAGCGGCGGAUAACAGAUUAGGUAGUUGGUGGGGUAAAGGCUCACCAAGACAACGAUCUGUAGCUGGCCUGAGGGGACGACCCGCCAAACUGGAACUGGGACACGGUCCAGACUCCUACGGGAGGCAGCAGUGGGGAAUUUUGGGCAAUGGUCGCAAGUCUGAUCCAGCCAUUCCGCGUGCAGGAUGAAGGCCCUCGGGUUGUAAACUGCUUUUGUACGGAACGAAAAGGUCUCUCUUAAUACGGGGGGCUCAUGACGGUACCGUAAGAAUAAGCACCGGCUAACUACGUGCCAGCAGCCGCCGCGG
rnacentral:rRNA from 1 species